GAAAGUAAACAAGGGCGCAUGGAGGAUGCCUAGGCUCUCGGAGGCGAAGAAGGACGUGAUAAGCUGCGAAAAGUUACGGUAAGGCGCAAAUAGCCCUAGACCCGUAAAUAUCCGAAUGGGGCAACCCGGCCAGCAAUGGUCAUACCGCCAAGCGGUAAGCCAACGCGGGGAACUGAAACAUCUAAGUACCCGCAGGAAAAGAAAAUAACAAUGAUUCCGCCAGUAGUGGCGAGCGAACGCGGAACAGCCCAAACCACUCGUGUUACGGCACGAGUGGGGUAGAAGGAUCCACGAUACGGCAAGAAAUAAGUUAGCAGAAUACGAUGGAAAUCGUAGCCAAAGACGGUGACAGCCCAGUACGCGAAAACCGACAGAAGCCCAGUGGACACCUGAGUAACCCAGGACACGAGAAAUCCGGGGCGAAUCAGCGGGGCCCAUCCCGUAAGGCUAAAUACUCCCGAGAGACCGAUAGCGAACCAGUACUGUGAAGGAAAGGUGAAAAGCACCUCGAACAGAGGAGUGAAAUAGUCCCUGAAACCGUCUGCCUACAAGCGGUCGGAGCAACGUAAGUUGUGACGGCGUGCCUUUUGCAUAAUGAACCUACGAGUUACUUUCUCCGGCAAGGUUAAGGGCUUCAGGCCCGGAGCCGAAGCGAAAGCGAGUCUUAAUAGGGCGUGAUAGUCGGAGUGAGUAGACGCGAAACCAAGUGAUCUACCCUUGGUCAGGAUGAAGGUUGGGUAACACCAACUGGAGGUCCGAAUGGGUAUACGUUGAAAAGUGUUCCAAUGAACUGAGGGUAGGGGUGAAAGGCUAAUCAAACUUGGAGAUAGCUCGUACUCCCCGAAAUGCAUUUAGGUGCAGCCUUGCGGGUUACUGAUGUGAGGUAGAGCGACUGAUAAGAUGCGAGGGCUUCACCGCCUAUCAAGUCUUGACAAACUCCGAAUGCGCAUCAGUUCUACCGCAGGAGUGAGGGCAUGGGUGCUAAGGUCCGUGCCCGAGAGGAGAAGAAUCCGGACCACCUGCUAAGGUCCCGAAAUAACAGCUAAGUUAAACUAACGAAGUCAGAUUGCUAAGACAGCUAGGAUGUUGGCUUGGAAGCAGCCAUUCAUUUAAAGAGUGCGUAACAGCUCACUAGUCGAGGAGUCGGGCGUGGAUAAUAAUCGGGUAUUAAGUUGUCUACCGAAGCAGUGGGAUCAUUUAUAUGAUCGGUAGGGGAGCAUUCCAGUCAGCGUCGAAGGCGUACCGUGAGGUAUUCUGGAGCGUCUGGAAAAGCAAAUGUAGGUAUAAGUAACGAUAAAGGGGGUGGGAAACCCCCUCGCCGAAAGACUAAGGUUUCCUGAUCAACGCUAAUCGGAUCAGGGUCAGUCGGGUCCUAAGGCUCAGCCGAACGGCGAUGCCGAUGGCAGAAACGGUUAAUAUUCCGUUACUACCUUCAGGAGUGACGUGGAGACGCAGUAGUGACAGUGCCGCCAUCUGACGGAAUAGAUGGUUGAAGGGUGUAGGAGUCGAUCAUGGCAGGCAAAUCCACCAUGAGAUCCGAACCUGAUAGUAUGCCGCGUCCUUCGGGACAAGGCAAUAGUGCGCGUAAGCAUGCUGCCGAGAAAAUCCGCUAAACUUAAUCCUGCAGGUACCCGUACCGCAAACGGACACACGUAGUCGGGUUGAAUAUACUAAGGCGCUUGAGUGAUUCACGGUUAAGGAACUAGGCAAAUUGACCCUGUAACUUCGGGAUAAAGGGUCCCAACGAGAGUUGGGCGCAGAGAAUAGGUCCAGGCAACUGUUUAACAAAAACACAGGGCUGUGCGAAAUUUCAAGAUGAAGUAUACAGCCUGACACCUGCCCGGUGCCGGAAGGUUAAGAGGAGAGCUAAUCGCAAGAGAAGGCUUGAAUUGAAGCCCCGGUAAACGGCGGCCGUAACUAUAACGGUCCUAAGGUAGCGAAAUUCCUUGUCGGGUAAGUUCCGACCUGCACGAAUGGUGUAAUGAUCUGGACACUGUCUCAACCGUGAGCUCGGUGAAAUUGUAGUAUCGGUGAAGAUGCCGAUUACCCGCGAUGGGACGAAAAGACCCCGUGAACCUUUACUAUAGCUU
rnacentral:rRNA from 1 species